AGCCUACCAACGUGCAUUUUGUAGCAGCUGGAAAGCUCAAGGUCGCAUUGCUUUCAUUGAAAAUUCUCCAUGCUUGAAAUAUUCACUUCAGGUGAAACUUGGUAACUAUUUGGCUUCAAGAAUACCAGGCAUGGGAAACUUAUCAAAUGGCCUCUUUUUCGUCUCCGCGCUUUAGGGAUGGUGUCAGUGAAGGCCAGGUCUACCAAGUUCUACUUACCGAGCUCGACGCCAUCCGAAAGGCUUGCGCGUCGCUACCAAAGCGCCACCACACCAUGUUGUUCGUGCACAACCCCAACGACCAGAACACGAUCAACUGCAGCGGCAACAUCCUUCCAGAUGGGAGCGGUGGCCUUAUCGAGCACAUCUUGCAGCAGCAGCAGCGCUAGGAGGUGUAGCAGGUUGAGAUCGGCAUCCGCCCAUCCACGGAUCAUCUGGGUACAGAGCAGGCAUCUGUAAAUAUAAAGGAGUUGAAGGCAACAAUUGGCAUGGCAUUACACUAUACUUAAUCUAUUUGCAAUGAAGUUUGAGCACUGGAACCAUGUGGUUCAGGAUGCGCUUCAGCGUGCUACUCUUGAGAGCAAAUCCCAAGUGGGCUCAAUUUUUCAAGUUCUUAACACAAAAGAACCUCCUUCCAGACAAACAAAUUUACUUAGGCCUUCCAUGACAUUGUUAUGCAUAUGGGAGUUACAUGCUCAGAUCUGUGUGGUGACCUUUGGUCCAAGAUUGCUGCAUCCGAUAGCAUCUUCCUUGAGGGAACCUUUGGUCCAAGAUUGCUGCAUCCGAUAGCAUCUUUGUAGUUGCUAGGACAGUUGUAUGAUGCGGUGGCUGUGUAACUCGGCCUCGGCUACAACAUCUCCGGCGAGCUCCUGGUUCACACUUUGAUCAAAGGCUCAUUCAUGUUCCAGGAUAACAGGGGGCCAGAUGACGGAGUAGCAGCUGGGACCUGCAGCCUGAUGUGCCUUGGAUGGAAAGUGGAAGACCCGGGGCUAGAAGGAGACAAGUCAUCAUUUAGCGCCUUGUUUGUCAGGCCAUCUCUAUGCAACAGCGCUAGCUUUAUUUCUGUCGCCUUAGUCAACUGUGCGGUAUAUAUGGUUGCAUCGGAUGAGCAGCUGAGGUUUCAAGUCGGAAAAUGAUUGUGGUGUAUGUAAUAAUCCCAGCUUUUGUUGAUGUUUGCUGUUGGGUAUCUUGGUAUAUCUGUUUGAUUAGACAUCUUGUUGAGAUUUAGUGUCGUAUGAUUGUGUGCUAUGUGCACUUAGUAUAGUUUUGAAGAAUAUAUAUUCUU